AGCGAACGCUGGCGGCAGGCCUAACACAUGCAAGUCGAACGAACCUUUCGGGGUUAGUGGCGGACGGGUGAGUAACACGUGGGAACGUGCCUUUAGGUUCGGAAUAACUCAGGGAAACUUGUGCUAAUACCGCAUGUGCCCUUCGGGGGAAAGAUUUAUCGCCUUUAGAGCGGCCCGCGUCUGAUUAGCUAGUUGGUUGAGGUAAUGGCUCACCAAGGCGACGAUCAGUAGCUGGUCUGAGAGGAUGAUCAGCCACAUUGGGACUGAGACACGGCCCAAACUCCUACGGGAGGCAGCAGUGGGGAAUCUUGCGCAAUGGGCGAAAGCCUGACGCAGCCAUGCCGGGUGAAUGAUGAAGGUCUUAGGAUUGUAAAAUUCUUUCACCGGGGACGAUAAUGACGGUACCCGGAGAAGAAGCCCCGGCUAACUUCGUG
rnacentral:rRNA from 1 species